rnacentral:piRNA from 1 species
AAGAAGCGCCAGGAGCCCCUGAUGGU